UACGUAGGGUGCAGGCGUUUAAUCGGAAUUACUGGGCGUAAAGCGUGCGCAGGCGGCUCCUUAAGUCAGAUGUGAAAUCCCCGGGCUUAACCUGGGAACUGCGUUUGAAACUGAGGGGCUAGAGUGUGGAAGAGGGGGGUGGAAUUCCAGGUGUAGCAGUGAAAUGCGUAGAGAUCUGGAGGAACACCGAUGGCGAAGGCAGCCCCCUGGGCUAACACUGACGCUCAUGCACGAAAGCGUGGGGAGCAAACAGG
rnacentral:rRNA from 1 species